rnacentral:lncRNA from 1 species
CAAACAUAACUUUAAACUUUUGCAUCAAAUUGACAACUUAUCAAAUUCGCACUAUCCUUUCUCAAACAUGAAAGAGAAUGACAGUGAAAAGUUUCUAAAACUUCCAUUGCCCAAAUAGGUCUUUGUCAUACAUCACUCGAACCCAACACAAUAUUCAGAGCUCCCAAGAAGAGAACAAGUCUCCCUACCAAGUGAUGUUACUAGUUCCAGUACUUGCGCUGUUUGGAUGUCUUGUCCAGCCUUAGAAUCAAUGCCAUUACCCAACAAGAAGAAAACUUAGUUUUCAGCAUGCUUGAAGAAAAUUUAUUCAGCAACUAUAACUUAUCCUCUAGCUUCAGCUUCUUCUAGCUCACCGAGCUUUCAGGUAAGAGAGUAUUUUGUGUAGCAAUCAAAACAGCCCCAGCAUCUUUAUUCUCAGAUUUUCCACCAGUUUGAUCUGAAGCUUAAUCCCAGAUUGGAAGGUAGAGCUUUUCUCUUCUUUCUGCAAUUGAAGGUGCAGAUUCUGCAAGUUCUGGGGAAACAUCUCAGCUUGAGCGAAUUGUAGACGUUCAUUCUGUGCAUGGAUUUGGAGUUGCUCCAAUUCUUCCUACUUCUUGGCAAGCUUGACAGUCUUCAAGGAGUUCUUGAAAAAGAAUCUGAAGUACAUCUAUGAACAAUCACAUAUGCAUUUGGGCAAUCUAUAGGUUCUCCAUCUGCUCUCAUCGCUGAACUACCACAUUCCUUCAGAUAAAUGGACCUGCCACCUCUGGUUUAUUAAAGACUAAAACAAUUUCCGUUGAACAGGUCUUUGCAUAAACCUUCUUUGGGGCAGGAGACUGAUGUGGAGUAUACUUAAGUCGUUUUCAGAUUAGUAUUUGAAUUGACCUUCUGAGGGGUGCCAAGUGCAAUUCACCAAAAUCCCAAACUGGAAUUAGUCCAUCUCCCAUUUCCUUUGAAAUACUCAACAAUUUAGUUUCUUUUUCUAUCAAGUUUGCCUUCAACUUUUCAAUAUCAGCCUACAUUUUCUCUAGUUUCGUCUGUGGUUCAGCUUGUAUUGGACUGGGUCUAGAUUUUGCGUGUUCUACAUGCUCAUAAGUGCUUCCAAACUACACCAUGUCCUGAACAUAUUCUUUCUGAUACCUGACCUUGGCAUCAAGAGCAGAUUUUAAAUGUCUCAUCUUUAAGACCAGAUUACUACUUAUGAAGUNNNNNNNNNNNNNNNNNNNNNNNNNNNNNNNNNNNNNNNNNNNNNNNNNNNNNNNNNNNNNNNNNAAGAUAGACUGGCUCUCUACAUCAGCUCACAUUGAUUUGUUUGGAGUUGCCCAAUUUCUUUGGCAAAUCUUCAUUUUCGUGUCUCGAAUUGUGGUUCAGUUUCCUUACUUCUUCUACCGCUGGACAUUCCAAAACAAAACUUGCAAAAGCUUGAAUGGCUUCUAAACUUUCUGCCAAUUCAGAAUUUUCCAACUGCAGGUUCACAUUAGAGUUCUUUUAACUCCUCUGCUUCAGCAGCCUCAAAGCAUUCCUUUUUAGCAGCUUCACGCUCUUCUGUUGCAAAUCCUCUUUGAUCACUCUCAAUAAUUACCAAUAAUUUUUGCUUGGGUUGAAGAACAAACCUUCUUGGUGUAUACCUUAAAGGAAUCGCAGUUUCAUUAAAUGUUUCACCCAGUCAUUCAAUAGUGAAGACCCUCAGCGCAUCCCCAGCAGCAGCAACCACACCUUCAGCACACUGAUCAGAUGAAAAUGAUGCAGCAAAUUCAAGUGUCUCAUAAGAAAGCGGUGUCAACAGAAAAUGCCCUCAGUGAAUAUAGCCAAGCCGAGGGUGGCUUGACAAGCAUAGCAUUGCACGUUGGCCUCUCACAAUGACAGAGAAUAUCUUUGGGGCUCUUAGUCCUAAGGAUCGGGAAUGAGCAUCAGAGAGCUGACCUGUCGCCAUAUCUACCACCAGUCUGAACAAAACUCCAUUCUGCGAACCAACAUUAAGAAAAAGACUAGCAGGGCGAUCAGCACCAACCUUAUCACCUACUGAUGCCUGAACUUCGAGAGAGAGAUUCUGGAGGAAAAGAAACACUUUGCAUACUCAAAAUCUGCAUACAGUCAUCAGGAUCCAAAGACGAGAUACGAAUAGUGUUGUCACAUUAUCCGACUGCGAGAAAAUGAGAUCUGUCUUCCUUCAGGAACCGGGGCAAUGUUAGAACAAGCCACAUCCCCAGACAUUUCAUGCUUCUCAACCUCCAUCAACUGACCAGUCAUAUCCACCUCGAAAUAUAUAAGCUCUCCUUCACUCAGUGCAAUAACCACUUGAAGCCUAUUGGGACCAACUUUGAUGGUUGUCCUCUUUCCAGGAGUUCUCCACUCGUUAAUGCGCCUGCCUUCUCUUACAUAACGGAAACCACUAGGGUGAACUCGCGGCAAGGAAUCAUCAUCACCUAUCGAAGAAACAGCAAGGGAUGCUGUAGCAUCAAGAAAACCACUAUCGCUUCUUCAACCGUGUCACCAAUUGAAAGCACAAGAGUAGCAUUUGCAAUUGAAACAACACUAUAUGCAUCAGACUCAUCAUCGACAUUCUUGCUAUCGCUUCUAAAUUUAGGAUCCGGAGGAAAGGAGCCCGAAUCAAUGCUAAAUUCAGUCAAAGCUUUCUUCUAGCAAUCUCUAAAAGAGGAGCAGAAGGCGUGCACCAGUAGAACAAAGUAAAUGCUGAGUAAAGCCCCUUGAAGGCCAUGGUACUGUGUAAAUCAAUAGGCAUUCCAAGGCAAAAUUAGGCCAUGGCAGUAGCUUGAGUACAGUUUUAGUCUCUGAUUUCUCCACAGAUGAUCAGCAAGUUUCGGAAUUUUUAAUAUUCUCUAAGCCAGAACAGAUACAUAAAAGAUGAAGGUUGGACGAACUACUCAUUACUGAUAUCAACUGCACCUGAAUUUAUUGAUGGCCAUCAUUUUUUUGUCUUCAGAAUCCAUUUUCAUUGCAGCAGUCCCAUUAAAUUUUUCUGAUGACUCCCACAUUGUCAUCCCCUAUUGAAGCAAUUCUAUCAACAAUUUCAGUAAUUAUGUCAACACCAGUAUUCCUUAAUGAAAAUACAACAAAAACUUUUCCACAACAUUGGCCAAGGGAGCAAAAGUCUCAUUCAUUAUUCAUAAGGAAUGUCAUGCUGAAGCUUCUUCCACUUCCUUAAGCUUUUGAAGCAAAUGGCACUGAGACCAUUGGGAACAUAUGCGAGGGCCUUUGAAGAAGGAAGUAUUCCAGCCACUACUGAAGAUAGAAGGCAUCAGGAAGGCCCCAAUUCAUGCAAAGCAGAAAAACAAGAAAGGCCAUUAAGGCCAAUUUUGGUCAUGACAAUCAUAGCAUGAGAGUUUUAGGAUCCCGUAGAGUCUGCAGAAAUGUAAGUAGUAGACCCAAGCGCCUUUAACAAAACCCACAAUCCUGUACUCUUCUGUAUGCAGUCUCUUUGCCAAAAGCUCUGCACCUCCCAGAUUCUUUAAACAGGAAAACUGCUGCACUGCUGUUGUCCAUGAGCUGCUCAUCAUGGGCACCAUUAGAUUGAACAAUGAAUGCGAAAGCAAGAAGGCGAAUCUUGUUGCACAAUCUGUAAGUUCUGAGAGGAAGGCACGAGCAUAUCUGAUUCUGGUCAGGCGCAAGUUUGUGCUCUUCGCAGUCCUCUUGGGCAUUAAACCAUGUCUUGACCACUGCCUAGCAUGUAGGUUCCCAGUUUACUGUUGCCUUUAGGGAUCACAAGGUCCAUAUUUAUCUCAAGUCUUGGCAAAUCAGUUCUCUUUCUCGUCAACCUACUGGAAUAUCUCAGAGCCAAUCAUCCAGUAACCGAGCUUUAGCCCAUUAACACUCAACCUUACAAAACUAGACAAGCUGCGAUGGGAUUCAUGGAGAUAAGGAAAUAGAACCGCCGGAAGUACACUGAACAUGCUGCGGCUUGCUGCAACGUUACCCCUCAUAUCAAACACCUCUGUCAUCCCCUCAAAACGUGCCCAAAUAUACUAAGACUCGAACAUCGUACAAGAAAGGAAACAUGGAACAUAGGCAGAAAAUAUCAAUCAACAUAGACAGCCCCGUUUUACGUGUCAAUAAUCUAGGGCUGGACAGGGGGACAAUACAGAAUAGGAUUUAAACAUAAACAGAGUAUGAUCAAAUUCAAGUAUGGGGUCACAUAUUUUAGAAGACACCAACGACAUAUAAAAGAAUCAGAAUAAAAAAAGGGCAAACAAGAACACAGAGAGUAACAAGAAGCAUACCUGGACAGUCUUGACUGCAAUCACUCCUUCCCCGCUAUCGUCCACCUCCAAAAUCCGUGAAAACCUUUGUUCCUCUUUCUUCAUUCGAAAACAAUCCCCUUAAAAAAAAAUCCCCUCUGCUCUCCUCUGUUGUUGCUUUAAAAGCCUCUCAUCUUGAAUCUGAAAUUCCCCCCCGGUAGCAAGACAAAAUCUCAACUCUUUCCUUUUUCCAUUGCCUUUGUUCAGAUCUUCCUUUUCAAAACAUGGACUGAAUCUUCAGUUUUUCCAAAACCCACCAAAAUAAUAAUAAUAAUAAUAAAAAACUAGAAAAAAAAAUAUAAAGUAUUAAGUCAAAAUCAAAAUAAAGAUAAAUAAAUAAAUUAAAAAAAAUCAGGAAUCAUAUAAGAAAAGGAAAAGAGAAGAUCAAUCACAUGUAAGUCAUAUAAGUCAUGCAUGCUAUGCAAUAAGGUUAUCUAGGCAAACUAUGCAACCAUGAAGGAAAGUGAGUCAAUGCAUGAACUAAUGGGUCGGGCCUUGUGGUGCCUAAAGUGGGCCUAGGUGGGCCAAAGUAAACCUGAGUGAGCUUAGAAAAGUGCUAUAGUGACCUAGGGUGAACUAAGUGAAAUCUAACUUAAAGUGCACCCAAAGUAAAGUCUAACCUAAACUCGAAGGGUGACUAAGGUCACAAUGAGGAGCCAGAUAAACCCUCAACCAAAGUCUCCAAAGUGGCUUAGAGAAGACAAAUUGCAUAGUAGUAAUUAGUUACAAAUGAACCAUUGUAAAAUACUAAAUGAGCCCUCAAUAGAACAUGUGCUAAGGGGACAAAAUGAAGGAUCUAUACUAAUAGAACAAAAAUUCUAAAAUCUUCAAAUCUCAACUUUUAAACCAACAUAUCAACCAUAGUAUUUUUGUCCAAGCAAUUUCAAACUAAAACAAUAGCUAACAAUAAUUAAAUUCUAAUGUUUAACAAAGUCCCCAAAAAAGAGUUUAAACAAAUAUCCUAAUAAAGCCAAAAUUUUCAUUCUAACCAUCACUUCUCACCCGAACUUAGGGUACCUGAAAAAUUAAUGAGCUCAAAACUCAAUAAGAAACAUUAAUAUAGUUUCAUGGAUCAAAUAUUUUCAUUCAUGCUUCCAAAUAGGAGAUAUAGGGUAUAAUCAUUUUCAUAAAACGUUUGAGUUCAAACAUGCUAAUACAUUUUAAACAGUUCAACCAAACAUUUUCAUAUAUAUCAAAACCAUUUCAUAUCAAAUCCAAAUCAAAUACAUUUCAAUUAUUUUUAUUUUGGUUACCAAAUAAUAAAUGACGCUUAGUUAAGUGAAACUUUACAAAUGGGUGGUUAGCUUCAAAUUUGUUCCUUUUAAGGUGGACAUAAUCAAAAGUAACCUCUAAUCAAAGCCCUCAAGGCUGGGGUUUAAAUCAAUUACAUUUUUUAUCAGGAAAAUGUAAAGGUCAAUUAUUAUAUCCUGUUGACAAGGGCCGAAAAGUCAACUAUUAUACCCCAUUGAUAAGGACCAAACAAAUUAAAGUCAAAUUCUUUGUUUUAUUUAUUCAAACUUACGGAAAACAUAAUACCUCCAUAUAUUCUAUUAUAAACAAAAGAAAUGUUAUAAUAUAUUUUUUAUGCAAAAAUAUAUUUGAUCCAUACAUAAAAGCAAAAAUAACACACACACACACACACACACACACACACACACACACACACACAUAUAUAUAUAUAAUUAUCUCUUCAAAUUGAUAAAUGGUAGUUUUUUUAUUCAUACUUUCAUUCGUUCAUGUACAGAGUAUAUAUAGAGGGUAAUCACCAUUCUAAGAAUGGGAAAGAAUGAUACAAGGAAAUAAUGAUAUAAGGAAAUAACAACUAAUAUCCUAAUAUCUCAACUUUCCUAAUAUCUCAAUAUUCCUAAUAUCUCAACACUAAAUGAUAUAAGGAAAGAAUGAUAUAAGGAAAGCAUUCCUAAUAUCUCAACACUCCCCCUCAAGUUGGUGCAUAGAUGUCACACAUGCCCAACUUGUCUAAAAAUUUUGAGAACACUUGACUUGAGACAACUUUGGUAAGGAUAUCGGCCAAUUGAUCUUCUGAUCGAAUCUUAGGCAAUUCCACAAUCUUAUCAUCCAAAUUUUCCUUAAUGAAAAAUCUAUCCACCUCGACAUGCUUUGUACGAUCAUGUUGUACUGGAUUAUGAGCAAUGUCACAUGCGGCUUUAUUGUCACAAAACAAUUGGAUUGGUUGCCUAGAUAGGUAACCUAAAUCCUGUAAGAGAAGUCUUAACCAUAAUGCCUCACAAAGUUCUAGAGCCAUACCUCUAAAUUUCGCUUCUACACUUGAACGAGCAACGACAUUCUGCUUCUUACUUUUCCAUGUCACAAGAUUACCACCUACAAAGGUAAAGUAACCAGAUGUAGAUCGCCUAUCAUCCACUGCACCGACCCAAUCAGCAUCAGUAUAUACUUCUAUACUCUGAUGAUUAACAUUUUUAGUGAACAAAAUUCCCUUCCCAGGAGCAUUCUUCAAAUACCUCAAAAUACGCAUGACUGCAUUCAUAUGUUGCUCUCCAAGAUUAUGCAUGUAUUGACUCACUACACUCAAUGCAUAAGCAAGAUCUGGUCUUGUAUGAGCUAAGUACAUUAAUCUCCCCACAAGUCUCUUGUAUCUUCCCUUAUCGGUUGAUACUUGAUUAGACUCAACACACAAUUUCAGACCUUCUUCUAUUGGUGUAUUAACAGGUUGACAUCCCGACAUUCCAGUCUCCUGUAAAAGAUCUAAGGCAUACUUUCUUUGAGAUAGAAAAAUUCUUUCACUUGAUCGAGAAACUUUAAUCCCAAGAAAGUAUUUCAGAGGACCUAGAUCUUUCAUUUCGAAUUCUCUAGAUAGAUAAUUUUGUAGAGCUUUUCUUUCUUCAGGAUCAUUUCCUGUAACUACCAUGUCAUCCACAUAUACGAUGAGUGUCGUAAUCUUACCAUGUUGCUUUUUCAGGAACAAAGUGUGAUCUGAAUUACUUUGACGAUAGCCAAAAGCUCUCAUUGACUUUGUGAACCUUCCAAACCAUGCUCUCGGGGAUUGCUUCAACCCAUACAAUGACUUUUUCAAUUUGCACACCUUCUGACAUUGCUUUUCUGGCAUCAUGCAUCCUGGUGGAAGAUCCAUGUAUACUUCUUCAGAUAACUCGUCAUGCAGAAAGACAUUUUUCACAUCGAAUUGUUGUAAUGACCAAUCUAGGUUUGCAGCUAAAGACAGUAAUACUCGAACUGUGUUGAUCUUAGCUACGGUGCAAAUGUCUCUGUGUAGUCAAUUCCAUAAGUUUGAGUGUACCCUUUUGCUACCAGUCUUGCUUUAAAUCGUUCAAUACUACCAUCUGCCUUGUACUUCACAGUAUAGAUCCAACGACACCCAACUGGCUUCUUUCCUGGUGGACAUUCUACGAGUUCCCAUGUUUCAUUCUUCUCCAAUGAUUUCAUCUCUUCAUUCAUGGUUGCUUUCCACCUUGGAUCAACUAAGGCUUCCUGCACACUGUUAGGAAUAACUGCAGUAGAUCAUUGAUUUACAAAUGACUUAUUUGAUUUAAACAAACGAUGGUUAGACACAUAGUUGCUCAUGGGAUAUUUGACUUUGGUAGACAAUUCAGGUUCAUAUGUGGGUUUAGGAAUACCUCUAUUAUGACGAUGUGGUAACCGUUUCAUGAAUGGAUCAGGUUCCAAAUUAAGAACACCCUCAACAGACGACGAUUGGUUUGGUAUUUCAAUGAAGACAUCUUCGGACCCAAAUUGUUGACCACUCAUAUCCAACUCACCCGCUUCCUGAUUCACUAGUUCAAAUUGUCCAGAUUCAUCUUCCUCAGAGAUAUGAUAAUCAUAAUCGAGAGUCUGAAUUUCCUUAUGGUACUCCUCCUGAAGUUCAGACUCAGAUGAAAAAUACAUCGAAUCUUCAUGAAACACCACAUCCAUUGUAAUAUACAUUUGUCAAGUUGGAGGAUGGUAACAUUGAUAUCCAUUUUUGUGCAAUGCAUAUCCAACAAACACACAUUGCAAUGCAUGAGAAGUUAACUUGGUGCGUUGGUGCUUGUGUAGAUGCACAAAUGCCACGCAACCAAAAACACGAGGAGGUAGAUUUGGGACGAUUGGGGCAACUACGGCAUUAGUAAGAGCUUGGAGAGGUGUUUGAAAGUUAAUUGAGCUAGAAGGUACCCGAUUGAUCAAGUAUGCGGCAGAUGUGAUUGCUUCUUCCCAAUAAGAUAUCGGUGUUUUUGCUGCUAUCAAGGAAGCACGAACAACCUCUAACAAGUGCCGAUUUUUUCGUUCAACGACUCCAUUUUGCUGGGGUGUAUUGGAACAAGUAAUCUGAUGAAUGAUGCCAUGUCCUUCCAAAUACUUUUGAAGAUCAGAACUUUGAUAUUCUCCACCAUUAUCACUAUGCAGAACUCGAACCUUUGCAUUGUACUGAGUUUCAAUCAUUUUAUGAAAUUUUUGAAACAACAAGUUCACUUCAUCUUUGGUCUUCAUCAAGCAUAACCAUGUCAUUCUGGUACAAGCAUCAAUAAAAGUAACAAACCAACGUGAGCCACUCAAAGUUGGGACUUUGGAUGGGCCCCAAACAUCAGAAUGUAUAACCAUAAAAGGAAACGAACUUUUAUUCAAAAUUAAUGGAAACGAAGCACGAUGGCUUUUAGCCAAUUCACAAAUAUCACAACGGAAACCAGAAAUAUCACUCUUUGCAAACAAACUAGGAAACCAUUUUUUUAAAUAACCAAAGGAAGCAUAUCCCAGACGUCGAUGCCACAACCAAAUUUCAUACUUUUUCUUCUCCCCCUCAGAUCCAUCUGCCAUCAAGACUUGUUGCAACUUAUUUGAAUCCUUUGACUGCAAGUCCAAGUAAUAGAGUUUUCCCCGCUUAAUACCACAACCAAUCGUUUGUCUUGUUUGGAUGUCUUUAAUCACACAAAAUUCAGGCAAAAAAAUGACAAUACAUGAUAAGGUUGCAGUGAUUUGAGAAACUGACAAAAGAUUGUAAUCUAAAGAUGGAACAACUAAAAUAGAAUCCAAAUUCAAAGUACCAGUAAGAGUUAAGGAUCCUUCCCCAAUGACUGGGGUUGUGUUACUAUUGGCUGUGGAAACAAUUUUUUGUGAGGAAGGUCUAAGGGGUGAAACCUGUCUAGAAUCAAAAGUCAUAUGAUCUGUAGCACCAGAAUCAAUUAUCCAUGCACUAUUAAUAACAGGUGUAAAAGUAUUUAAAAACUUACCACCAUGAUCAAUAGCGACUACCAAUGCAGAGGCUUUCUCAGUAACAUUAGCCUCUGUUUUUAUUUCGGCAACAGUUGCAGUCGAAGUUUUCUUGGAAUCCUUUUUCCGUUGAUCACAAUUAUUAUCAUUAAUAACAAAGUGUUGAUAGCCUAAACAUGAUCUAAAUGUCCAUGGUUCAAACCCUCGGUUCCUCAUUGUUUUCCUGGUCAUACCAAGAGUCGUUACUUUGAAAUUGUGGGAUAUCCAGACUGGUGGGACCAGUCUUAUUGCAGUGAGUGCAUUUGAAGGUUGACUUAUCAAUAUUAGGGCUUGUCUUAGGAUGGUUGAUCGCUGUCGGACUACCAUGGUGACAAAAUAUCCAGGAUUUCAGUUCAAUGGCUCUGAUACCAUCUUCAAAUUGAUAAAUGAUAGUUUUUUCAUUCAUACUUUCAUUCGUUCAUGUACAGAGUAUAUAUAGAGGGUAAUCACCAUUCUAAGAAUGAGAAAUAAUGAUACAAGGAAAUAACAACUAAUAUCCUAAUAUCUCAACUUUCCUAAUAUCUCAAUAUUCCUAAUAUCUCAACACUAAAUGAUAUAAGGAAAUAAUAAUAUAAGGAAAGCAUUCCUAAUAUCUCAACAUUAUCUUCUUUUGCAAAGUUUGUGUUAAUUUCUCUUAGCUCAAAAGAGUCCUCAAAAACCUUGGAGAGAAAUAAUUGUGGAAAAUCUAUUCUUCACUUAACAUAACAUAAUAGAAAUAAAUAUUAUUAUUUAUGUACAAUUUAAUUAAUCUAUUCCGUAUUUAAAUAAAAUUAAUAAAUUCCUAAUUUGAUUCUAAUAACACAUUACUAAUUUAAUUAAAUUGCAAUUUUAUUUCAUUAUAAUUUUUUUUUUACUAAAUCUCUUAUUCUAUUUAUUACUUUAAACCAUUAUUACUAUUAUCUUAUUUAUUAACCUAGACCUAAAUAUUAUUAUUUUAUUAAUUAUCAAAUUCAAUAGCCACCCAAACCAUUACCCACUUGUCUCUGGCACACACAAAACAAAUAAAACAAGGCAAGUUCUUCCGAUUGUCAUCAUCAUCACUAUGAUGAUUCAUUAUUUAUUUAUUUAUUCUUGGUUUUCCAAGGUCAUCCUUCCAUCAAAUGCACACGCCUCUUUUUUAUUCUUUCUUUCUUUCUUAACCCUAACAUGUCUUUUUUUUUUUUUUUACUUCUAGCAAUGUGCACACAAAUACAAUGCCUCAAAACCAUAAAUACAAGUAUCUAUAUAUGACCCCUCCAAAAUCCAGAAAUCAUGUAAUUCUUCUUAUUAUUUAUUUAUUUAUUUUAUUUUCAAUCUAAAGCCUCCACUAAUGACUUAUUUAUUUAUUAUCUAAAUCUAAAAUUUCUUUUCUUCCUCUGGUUUUUUUUUUUCAUUUUAAAUUUAUUUAUUUAUUUUUCUAUUCCAUUGAAAAUUUUGAAAUUUUCCUAUCUUCAUCGAUAAAUCAACCUAUAUUUGAAAAUUUUCAAACAUUUUGAUCUAAAAGUUUAAUAAACAAACCCUAAUUUUGAUUUAGAUUUAAAAAAAAAAUAUCUAAUAUGUUCGAAACUAACUAAUGAAUCUAAAAUAUUAAUCUAGGGGUUAGAAUUUUAUCGGAAAAGUAUGGACUUCAAACCCUAAACCUUCAAACCUUUACCCCUAUGUGCUCCAAUUCUCUGAUUUUGGUUAAUAAGGUUUUUUGAAUAGAGAAGACAAUAACAAAAAUAAAAAAAUCUAAUUCAUACCUAGGACUAUUAAUGGAAAAAAUGACAUUUUUCCCCUAAUGAAUUUAAUUAAUGUUUAAUUUACUAUUUUACCCCUAAAAUUAAUUUGGGGUGUUAUAGUAUCAAUGGAUGAAAAAAAAAAAUCAAAAGGCGUAGGUCAUAAAUUUUAUUUCAAAAUCAUUUAAGAAUUAAUUAAUUAAAACUCAAAUUUUAAGUUUUUUAAUUUUAAAUUCCUCCCUUAUUCAUUAUUGGAUUAAAUUCUUUUAACUAUUUUUCCCUCUUUUAACUUUAUUAUUUUUUUCAUAAUUUUUAUCAUUAGAACAUAAGCUUUCUUGUUUCUCUUAAGAUUUUGUAAAUCAUUUAUGUGAAAUUUUAAAACCAAAUUAGCUAUCAAUAUUUCUUCUACCUUUUUCUCAAUCAAAUGCAUGAUUUAUUGUUGAUACUUAUCUUGGUUCAUCUAUAAGUGAGACCAUAACAAAAUAGACAUGCUUUUUUUUUCCAUUUGGAAGUCCUAAGGAAUCGACAUGUAGCCCAUAACAAGGACUAUCAAAUUAAUCAUUUAUAGUUUACAAUAAAAUAGAAUGCAUAUUAAAGGGGCUCUAGACUCGCAACUGUGAAUAUAUUGUUUGUUCUAGGUCCAACAGGUCCUCAAAAUUUCAAAAUAUGUUUACAAGGUUAAGAGGAGUCCAUACACAUAUAAUAUAUAUGUAAAAUUGCAAGGUUAAACGUUUUUAAAGAAACACUUCAAUUAAAAGCAUUUCCUAUAAAAACACUUUCAAUCGGACAUUAAUUAUCUUUAGUUAAUUAUCAUCAAUUCCUAAAUAUAAAUUUAUUCUCCUUAUCGGGAAUUUAACUAAAAUGCUUUUUUUUAUUAUCAAAUUAAACUAUGCAAGUGUAGGAAGUAGUUUUGUUCAAUAUGCUCAUAUGCUCUUUAGAUCAUGUUCUCCUUGAGUUGCUUGUUUUUUCUUAACAAAAAAAAUACAGUUUGUCACCCAUUUUGAAGGGAGAUAAUAACGAAAAACUCAUAGUUAAAAAAAAAAAAAUGUGAUUUCAACAGUUUUGGGAAUUAUCACUCUCAACAAUCUAUUAAAAAAUUGUAAAGAUUACAUGUUGGAUCUCCCCAGCCCCAAGGACACUUACUGUCACAAGAAUAAAGGUCACAAGAAACCCAUAUCCUAUCUUCCACCCCAAGCCUGCUUCUGCCAGUCAAAGUCCAAUCACAAUAUUCAGAGCUCCCAAGAUGAGAGCAAGUCUCCCUACCAAGUGAUGUUACUAGUUCCAGUACUUGCGCUGUUUGGAUGUCUUGUCCGGCCUUAGAAUCAAUGCCAUUACCUGAGAAGAAGAAAACUUAGUUUCCAGCAUGCUUGAAGAAAUAUAUUUUGUUACUGUCGAGUGAAGGCCCAGGCAGAGUGAAAACAAACCUGAAGAAUGCCAAGGAAAAACACCAAGGAUCCGAGGGGUCUGUGAAUCUUGAAUUUGGGAAUGCGAUAAAACUCCAGUCCAUUGUAGAGUGUCCUUCCUGCGACGACAGUAGCAAGACCCGGAAGAAAACCCACAAUCUGGAUCGAGAUAUGAAGAUAAAACCAUUGAGGAUCAUGAUGCUUGAAGUAUCUAGGGAUGAUUGCCCCAGAUGGAAGGAGCACGUCCCAUGCAAUUAGGCCCAUGUCUCCAUGACGCGUCUCCAAAUCUCCAGAGUUAUUGACACCAGAGUUAUAUCCUGUGAGACACACAACAGAAAUUUUCCAUAUCAGACUUCAAAGAGUUUUAUCUGAAGCUCCCACUUUAUUUCCUAGAUAUAAGCCCCUCGUCUAGAAUGUAAAAUCCUCUGUUCUCUGUUCAAAUUUCAGCUUUGCAAUUGGAGUCAAUACAUCUCGUAUUCAAUUCAAUCCUCAUCUUUUUAUGGCCUCCUAAAUUCUAAGACCUGUCUGGGUUGUCCAGUUUUGUGAAAAAUUACAUCAUGGGAUUUGAUUCAAUGUUAGGUACAAAAUUUUGGAAAAAUCUGCAAAACCCUCAACAGUUGUGACCACAGCUCAAGACCAAGGUGGGAAUUUACAAUCUAAUAAUGCUGAUGAAUGCUUCAUAGACUGCUCUACGAAACUAGCGUUUGUCAGAAUGCCUGUCCUUUGUUGAAAGACAUGAAGAUCCUCACAUUCUCGAGCAGGAAGAACCUUGGCCGAAAGUAGUUGAUUACUACUCAAAAAGUGCUAUUUGAUAGCCUAUAAUUAAUCAUUUUAAACACUUUUGAGUAGUAGUUUAGGCCUUUUAACUCAAUUGGCAUGUUAAGGAUCCUUUAAAGCAAUUUUAAUCACUUUGUGCAAGUUUUGGUGUUUUUGUUAGUAUUUUGAUCACCAAAGCAAGUCAAGACUGAGGAGAGCUAUGAGGAAUCUUGGGCAAAGCUUAGAAGUCAUUUGCCAAGAGUGAAUCCGGAUUGCAAGGAGUAAAAGCAAAGAGAAUCUGCCAUAAAACAUAUUCUUGAUGACAGUCGUAGCAGCCACUUUUGGAGCACUUUAUUAAGUCCAAAUUAUGCAUGCUAUAUACCAUUUCAAAGCUCAGGAAGUCAACAAUCCAAUGCUUUAAACGGUGUGCAAUUCGGAGUUGAAACGAAGAAGUUGCAGCCAUUGCAAGCCAAUCACUCCGAGCUGAAGGAAGCAUUUUGCAAAGUGUUGCGAAAUCACCCUUUUGUUGCGAAGUGAUUUCGCAGCAUUUUUGUACAGUAAGGUGUAUCUCCUUCUGACGAUGCACGAUUUAUGCCGCGAGAAGGAAGCUAGGAACCUCAAGGUGGAAGCCAACUUUGCAGCCUGGUGAAGAUAGCUUGGUGUUGCGAAAUUAUUUCGCAGUCCUCUUGAGUGUCUGCGAAAUCUCGCAGACACCAUUUUACUCCUGCGAAAUGGUUCCUGAAGCCUCCCGAUAUUUGCUACCGACAUUGGGAGAUAUUUUCCAUUAGAUUUUUGUUGUCUAAAUCCCAAAAUACUCCUUGUAAACCACCAAUUACAAGAUUCCUUAGCUUUUAAGUUAGUAAAAAGACUAAAUAUUUUUGUAACAAUUAGUUUUAUAUUAUGUUGAUAUAUAUACCUCUCGGGAGCCUGUUCUCGGGGAGGAGAUUCUUCUGUAAAAGUUUGGGUAAGCAAGUAAAGUCUAUUUUCUUUCUACUGCCUUACCUUCUCACUUUGUAUUUUCAUUUUAUUUCUAAGUUAUGAAUUCUCUGAGGAGUUUUCCCCAGAGAAUGAGUAACUAAACCUCUAAUUCCUUGGAGCUAAGGUUGCCGGGGAAGGUUCCAAGUGCAAGAAUGCAAAGCUUUGUGGUUUUAGAUUUUAAUGAAGAGGAAGUGAAAUCCUUUAGUGAUUUCUAUGUUUUUAGUUAACUUAAAACACCUUAGAGUCACCUGGGCCAACACUUGGUAAGGCAAGUGAUUUCCAACUAUGGAAAUGCACUAGUUUACCUCUUGCAAGCCUCUGGGAGGUGACUUCAAGGUAGGAUUUUCUGGAAUUACCAACACUUGGUAAGCUUUUGGACUCCUAGGAGACAUCCAUUAGUUAUCUCUUGCGAGUUUGUGAAGGGAAGUCCAAGGUUAAAGAUCAUCUUGAAUGGUAAGUGCUCGUGAGAGGCAUGAACCAUUGCAAGUUGCAUCAGUGAGAGAAUUAAAGUGAAAUCUAAUUGAAGGAAUCUCUGUACAACACCGGUUAGAGAAUUGACUAUAUGUUGAAUCUCUAACGCGAGGAAAUGAACCAUCUGACCAGGGCCGUGUCUUUUGCAUGAGGAACCACCCCAGUGAACCUAAAUCUCCAAGGAAUGCUUUUCUUCCUAAAUUAUUCCAAACUUCUGUUAUGUUAGUUAGUUUAAGUCUAAACCUUUACCAAUCAAAGUUUGUGUUUUACUUCUUAAGCUAACCGUGAAAUGAAACAAGACCAAUUCACUUGGAAUUGGUAUCAUUGAUUGCUUGUUAAUUAUUCCCAGUGAACGAUCCUAGAGCCACUAUACUAUAGUAGCUUUUUAUUUGCUACCCUAGUGUAUGGUGUUAUAGGUAUAAAUUUUGUUGAUCACUCCCUCAUCCAAGGAGCACCAGCUGGACAUGGAUCAGCUGAGACACCAAUUGGGCAUAAAUCAGUAGUCGGCAAAGGAUAAGAAGGCUGGGAUCAUUUCACACUGAACUUUACUCCAGCUACUUUGGUUAACCGGAUUCAUCCCAGAGAAACCCUGUGAAGAUCGCAGCCUUGUUUGAGCUCUUUGAAUAGAGUGAAAUAACAGAGCAGAAGCUGAUCAAACCUGGCAUGGAGGGCCCCCCAUUAAUAAAAUCAACUUCUCCAACCAUCCGGUGAUGCAGAUUGUUUGGCAGCCUCAGAAGCUGAGACACGGUCAUCGGCAUUCCCACACUACUCCACGACAGCCCUGCAUCACAACCAAUUUACGGGUCUAUUACAAAUGAGAGGGAGAAAAAGAGAUUUUCAUGUUAAUGAAAUCAUUCACCUUAGGAUCGAACUGAAACGAUAAACAUCAAUGAUUCCGGAUGAUUGAAUUUGAGUGCAUCCCCAGCAGGCUCUUCAUAUUCAGUAGCCUACUUGGUUACUGAUACACCUGCAAAGUUGAAAGCAACAGGAGGUAAAAUCAUCACAUUCUUUAAUAAAAAUGUCAUCACAUACGACUCUUUAGCUGAUAUAGAUACAAAUGAACUACCUGAUUGAGGGGCCCUUCAAAGGAAAAUAUGUUCCAAAGGUUGCAAGGACAUCACAUGGUGGCAGAUCAUGCUUCUGAAUAACCUGCACAUUCCACCCUUCAAAUAUAUUAGAAAAAUAAUAUAAUUGUAGUUUUAUAUUAUAAUAGAAGUUCAAAAAAAAAAAGAGAAAUUAUGCACGAUUGCUUGCACCCACCUCAUGGAUGUCAUAACAGUAUGCCUUCUUGCUUUUACAUUUUACAGUAAUAAUAGAUCGAUAACAAAUUUACAUGGAGAAGUGAGAACCCUCAGCUAGUUUCAUCCCCAUGACCAUGAUCCAGCAGCUCACCCAACGUAAUCACAGAAAACGGUUUUGACAAUAGUGGCCACUGUUUUGAGAGUGCUCGAGCAACUUGUUGCAUAGUUGGCCGAGAUUGGGGAUUAACACACAAACAUGCAAAUGCCAACUUCACUGCAACCACUACUUCCUCUGCCACUUGAUUCACAGGAGGUGAGGGGCGCUGGUCUAUCACAUCAUUCAGCAGGAAAUGGCCGACCGUUGAUGGUGAUGCAGAUGAGGAGGACGCUGAUGAUAACAGGGAUGAGAUAAGCUCUCCGGGAUGCCUUCCCAUAAUUACUUCUAAUGUCACAACACCGAAGCUAUAAACAUCGGUUUUAUUAUCCACCUUCAUUGUGUAAGCAAGUUCUGCAAAAGAAGAUUAGAUCAUGCUCUGCUCUGCUAAGCAAUUAGAAACGUUACAUAUGACGUAUAGAGGCCAUUUAGAGAUAAGCAAGGCACUAAGAAAAAUGUACCUGGAGCUGUAUAACCAAAAGUUCCUGCAAAUGAAGUCCAAUUAGAUGAGUCUGACUUUAAAAGCCUAGCCGUGCCGAAGUCAGAUACAUGAGCUUCAUAUUCUGAAUCUAACAAAACAUUGUUGCUCGAUAUGUCUUGAUGAAUUACAGGAGGUGAGCAAUCAUGGUGCAUAUAAGAUAAAGCUUUAGCCACGCCUUUAAUAACGUUUAGCCUCACAGUCCAAUCUAAUCUUUCUGCUUCUUCGUCGUUGCAUAGAAUGUUUUGCAAACUCCCCUUUUCCAUAAACUCAUAAACCAAAAAUGAGUUCUUUGCAAAUGAACUGAAGCCAUAAAGCUUGACGAUGUUGUGGUGCCUUAUCUGUGUUAAAGCAUAAAUCUCGCUUUUGAAAGCUUUCAAAUCAGCCAUAUCUCCAUCUUCUGAUGAGUGAAGCUUUUUCACAGCAACAACCCGACCUGUUGGCAACUCAGCCUUGUAAACAGUACCAUAUCCUCCAGUGCCAAUACACUGUUUCGAACUGAAAUUGUCGGUCCCCUGUAUGAUGUGCUCAUACAACAAUUCCCCAUCAUGGCCCCAUAUUGCAAAUAGAUCUUCAACAUCUGCUUCAGGAGACUUGGUUUUUCUCUUCCUCAAUUUUUGGAAAAGAAAAUAAAUGCCAGUAAUAAAAGCAAAUAAGAACAAUAGACUGCUCACAAUAAGGAGUAUUAUGAUCAAAAUAGAAAACUUGCUGGCCUUCUUUUGACUAGCACCGCAUGGCUUGAGAUGAGUGACAUUAUUACCACACAGACCUUUAUUAUUUUUGAAUGCCUCAAAUUGAGCAAAUGCUUUGAUGUUGGGGAGAGGACCUUCCAACUGAUUGUAGGAUAUAUCAGCAACUGUCAGGCUUAUCAAAUCAUAAAACGUGUGUGGGAUGGUGCCAGAGAGAUCGUUAUGGGAGAGAUUCAACGUUUCUAGGUUCUGUAAUUCUCCAAGGUGCGGUGGAACCUCUCCUGUCAACAUAUUUUGACUAAGAUCGAGACUUUCAAGAUGAUGCAUCUUUCCAAUUUCGUCAGGAAUGCUAUCCACAAAUCUAUUCUCGCUCAAGUUCAAGGACCAUAAUUUCCAGAAGUUUCCCAGUUGCUUGGGAACUGGACCGCUUAAGUUGUUUGAUGCCAAGUCAAGGAUUUCAAGAUUGGAUAAGUUUCCUAAUUCCAGAGGAAUACUUCCUGAAAGUUUGUUGUUGCCUAGCAACAAUUUGAACAAUAAGGGAAACAUACCCAAUUCUUUUGGGAUCUUCCCAAUUAGAUGAUUUGAGGAGAGAUCAAGUUGUUGCAGUUGAAUUGCUUUCCCAAGUUGAGGUGGUAUAGCACCAGAAAUUUUAUUGUUGGAGAUGUUCAGGUUUGUGAGCAUGUGGCACUCCCCCCAUUUCUCAGAAAGCUCACCAUAAAAAUUGUUAUUGCUCAGAUCAAUAUAAUUUAGAUUAGGGUAUACACCAAAACUUUCGGCUAUGUCUCCAGUAAGUUGGUUUUUUUCAAGCCUAACUCUGAAUAAGCUAGUGCAAUUUUUCAAGCUCUUUGGAAUAGGACCAGUGAAAUGGUUCAUUUGGGCUGAAACUUUUUCAAGAGCAUUACCAAGGCAUAUCUCUUGUGGUAGGUGGCCAAUGAAGUUAUUCUCAGCAAUUUGCAAAGAUUUCAAAUGAGUGAUAUUAUUCAUUUCUAGAGGAAUGGCACCACUGAGUCUGUUGUAAUGAAGGGCCAAAAAGUUUAAGCCGGACAAGUUUCCAAAGGAUGGAGGGAUCAGACCAGUGAGACUAUUAUUUGCCAACUCAAGAUCAUUAAGUGAUGUCAACAAUCCAAUCUCUUGAGGAAUAGAACCGGAUAGUUUGUUUGUAUGAAGGUACAAAGUGGUUAAGUUCCUCAAGUUACCUAUGGAAUGAGGGAUUGGACCGGUGAGAUUGUUAAUUGACAACGCAAGAUCAUUAAGUGAUGUCAACAAUCCAAUUUCUUGAGGGAUGGAACCAGAAAGCUUGUUCUCAGAAAGAUCUAAAGUGGUUAAAUUUCUCAAGUUUCCAAAGGAUGGAGGGAUCGGACCAGUGAGACUAUUAUUUGCCAACUUAAGAUCAUUAAGUGAUGUCAACAAUCCAAUCUCUUGAGGAAUAGAACCGGAUAGUUUGUUUGUAUGAAGGUACAAAGUGGUUAAGUUCCUUAAGUUACCUAUGGAAGGAGGGAUUGGACCGGUGAGAUUGUUAAUUGACAACGCAAGAUCAUUAAGUGAUGUCAACAAUCCAAUUUCUUGAGGGAUGGAACCAGAAAGCUUGUUCUCAGAAAGAUAUCAAGUGGUUAAAUUUCUCAAGUUUCCAAAGGAUGGAGGGAUCGGACCAGUGAGACUAUUAUUUGCCAACUCAAGAUCAUUAAGUGAUGUCAACAAUCCAAUCUCUUGAGGAAUAGAACCGAAUAGUUUGUUUGUAUGAAGGUACAAAGUGGUUAAGUUCCUCAAGUUACCUAUGGAAUGAGGGAUUGGACCGGUGAGAUUGUUAAUUGACAACACAAGAUCAUUAAGUGAUGUCAACAAUCCAAUUUCUUGAGGGAUGGAACCAGAAAGCUUGUUCUCAGAAAGAUCUAAAGUGGUUAAAUUUCUCAAGUUUCCAAUGGAUGAAGGGAUCGGACCAGUAAGACUAUUAGUUGCCAACUCAAGAUCAUUAAGUGAUGUCAACAAUCCAAUCUCUUGAGGGAUAGAACCAGAAAGCUCAUUCUCAAAAAGAUGUAGAGUGGUUAAGUUUCUCAAGUUUCCUAUGGAUGGAGGGAUUGGACCAGUGAGACUAUUAAUUGCCAAUUGAAGAUCAUUAAGCGAUGUCAACAAUCCAAUUUCUUGAGGAAUAUAACCAGAUAGUUUGUUUUUAUGAAGGUACAAAGUGGUUAAGUUCCUCGAGUUACCUAUGGAAGGAGGAAUUGGGCCUCUGAAAUUAUUAAAACACAAUGCUAGAACACUAAGAGAUGUUAGAAAUCCAAGUUGGGGAGAUAUUACACCAGUAAAACGAUUGAAAGUAAAGUUAAGAUUUGUGAUUAGUUUAGAAAGAUUACCAAUGUUGAUUGGAAUGGUUCCAUAAAGGGAGUUGUUAUAAAGAUUAAGAGUGAGAAGGUUAGGGAGUGAUGAGAAAUUGAGAUUGUGGAGUGUACCUCUCAAACCGCAAUUGUCAAGGUCUAAAUUGGAGACACUUCCUGACCUGUGACAAGUCACUCCAAACCAAUGAUGGCAAGAAUUGCGUCCAGACCAAGAAGAAAGGAAAGAUUGGGUUUGAUUAUCAAGACUGGUCUUCCAUGUUAGAAGAGCAACUGCCUCUUGAUCUUGUUCAACUUUCAAAAGAGAAGUGGUAGGUGUAGAGGCAGAUGUAAAAGUGACAUGGAAUAAUGAUAUCGAGUACAGAAGGAAAAGGAGAAAUAUGAAUAAGCAAGGAGUGAUGAUGAGUCGGGGGAGUAAGGAGUAGGAUGAAAAAUAUUCAAGCACCAUUGUUGAAUUGGUAGAAAUGAAGUUAUUAAGAGGUUUACCUGGAGGGAAGGAUGAAGACGAAACACUUAUUUAUAGACUUAAAUGUGAUACAUCCAAGAUUUCCAUUAGUUGGUGUUGACAUCUAACCAUUUGCUUUGUCUACGAUUAAUGGAAUUGAAAAGUAUUAUAUACAUGCAUGAGCUCAAUUCCACACUUAUUUUAUUUUAUCAAAAUGCUCUUAAUUUUUUUAUUAAAAUUUACACCUGUAAUUACAUAUGAAAUAAUUAAAAAUAUUCCUUUUUCACUCUAUGCACUUUUAAAUAUAACUUGUUUAAAAUUAAUCAUUACAAUUCAUUUUAAGAAGUAAGGACCAAAUAUACCCACGUCAACAACCUAGUUGAUAUAGGAAGUCCACUUUAACCAACAUUACUCAUUGUUUAGAUUGAAUUCUUUUAACUAUUUUGCCCUGUGAGAAAUAAACUCUUUUAACUUUAUUAGUUCUUUCAUAAUUUUUAUCCUUACAAUAUGAACUAUCUGAUUUCUCUUAAUAUUUUAUAAAUCAUUUAUGUUAUAUUUCAAAACAAAAUUAGUUGUCAUUUCUUCUACUUCUUUCCCAGACAAAUGCAUAAUUUGUGGUUGAUGUUUAUUAGUUUUAUUAAAGGUGUUUACAAUUUGUAAGUGAGACCCAUCAUCUAUGAAAAAUAUAGACAUGCUUUUUUUCAGUUGAAAGUCUUAAGGAACUAGUAUUUGGACCACAACAAGAACUAAGGGCUACCAAAUUUUCACUUUGUUUUACAUCCAAAUAAAACACACAAUCCUUUAUGUAUUGUCUAUUCUAAGCCAAGGGGCUCUCAAGGCUUUAAAAUGCAUCUCUAAGAUUAAGAGGAGCCUAACAUAUAUAUCAUCAUGAGCUUUUUUUCUCUAUCCGACGUGAGAUGUCAUAAAAAUUGUUCAACAAGACUAAUGCAUUUGUGAAGCUCAAAAGAAUCACAAAAAUCAAAGGAAGAUUUUUUGGGCAUUACAACAUAAAAGAUGCAGGACCCUUGUACACAUGCAUUUUCCUUAUCAAACAAUUGUCUUGACAAGCCAUUCUAAAGCCCACUUGGCUUGCCAUCACUAGUGAUGGACCUACAUCAUUCAAAUUCUCGAUGCUCUUGAAAAGGCCAUAUGCACUUGAAGUAAAAAGAGCUUUGAAUUUUUGUUAGAUACUUCGUUUUUUCUAUUUGGAAACAUAUUUUUCUUUUCUUUUUUUGUUCUUUUUUUUUAAUAGAACGUUUACCCUCCUAGAGUGUAAAAUCCUCUAUUUUCUGUUCAAAUUUCAGCUUUGCAAUUAGAGUCCUAAAUUCUAAACCUUGUCUGGGUUUUCCAGUUUUGUGAAAAAUCACAUCAUAGGGACCCAACAAGAUGGGAUUUGAUUCAAUGUUAGAGACAAAUUUUGGAAAAAUCUACAAAACCCUCAACAGUUGUGGCCAUACCAUAGCUCAAGACCAAGAUGGGAAUUUACAAUCUAAUAAAGCUGAUGAAUGCUUCAUAGACGUGAAGGUCCUCACAUUCUUGAUCGGGAAGAACCUAGGCCGAAAGUAAUCAGCAAAGGAUAAGAACGCCAGGAUCAUUUCACACUGAAACACUUUACUCCAACUACUCUGGUUAAACGGAUUCAUCCUAGAGAAAACUAUGAAGAUAGCAGCCUUGUUAUAGACUUAAAUGUGAUACAUCCAACAUUCCCAUUAGUUGGUGUUGACAUCCAACUACCUCCUUGUCUACAACUAAUGGAAUUGAAAAGGAUUAUAUGGCUCAAUCCCAUGCUUAUUUUAUUUUAUUUUAUCAAAGUGCUCUUAAUUUUUAUUAAAAACACUUGGAGUGCUUCUUCUUGGAUAAACACUUGAUGAGUAUUUCUUUUAAAGGAUAAGAGAAAUAUGAAAAAUACUAAUAUUUCAUAAAAAUAUUCAUUUUACAAAAAUACAUUCUUCUAGUAUUUUUAUUAAAAAUAAUUUUAGAAAUACUCUUACCAAAUGGUGGAAAAUUCUUAACAUGAGUGCAAAUUAAUUUUUAUUUUGAAAAAGUUUUACUAAAUGGAAAAAAAUUCUUCCUCGAAUUUUAUGUGGAUAUGAAUUACUUGGAUAAAAUUGGAGCUUUGUCCAUAUCAUGUUAGUGACUUAUUUUGUUGAGAUAUAUAGUUAUAAGACAAAUCUCACCCAAAUAUCUUUUUUUCGUAGAAGACAAAGCUCAUUGCCUUGAAUGAUAGGAUCUAGAGAUGCACAAAAGUGUGCUUUUUUAUUUAAAAAAAUGUGUUCUAUGACUAGCAUGUAUUUCAAAUUUAAGUUCAACCAAAAAGACCGCUCAAUCUCCUAAGAGCUCUUUAGAGAUGAAAACCAAUUUUAAUUAUAUCAAAUAAAAAUAUAUAAUUAUUAUUUCUUAAGAUGGUAUUGUUAAAUUGCCAAUUUUUAAAAAUUUUAUUAUGGUAAAAAAUGUUAACAUUUUGGGAAAAAAAUUAUUACUAUUUUUUUUUCAAACUAGCAGUCUUGAAAUAUUUUGUCUUAAUUAUAUAAAAAAUGAUAAUUAUUUUUGUAUAGACAAUGAUAUUUAAUUAGUAAUUUUUAGAUAUUCUUAGCAUGUAAAAAGAAGUAGACUUGACAUUUAAUAAUAUUUUGAUACCACUUUAAUCAAAUAUAUUAUUCAAAGUUAUACAUCUAGCUCUAUUAAAUUUAAGUUAAAUGAAGGUAUAGUCGAAAUUCAUAUUGACAAACAAAUGUUACCUAAGUGUAAUUCCUAUGACAUUGUAGUGAAGCAUAAUUUUUUUUUUCUUUUUAAGUAGAAUUAUAUGAAAACUUAAUUUAUUUUAAGCAUGCAUUAAAAUAAUGAUUUGUCUUUUAUUAAUUAAAAAACUAAAAAAAAAAUUGUACUAUUUAUUAUUAUUAAAAAAGAUUUCUUACUUUCAAUUAAAAUUACAUAUUUACAUAAGAAUAUAAAGUUCCCUUUCCAAUUGCAUGUUUUUAGUCUAGACAUUUAUUGUCUUUGAUAGGGUGGAAAAGUCAUUGCAUUCUUGAUUUUUAUUAACAAUUGUGUGGAAAAGUUGUUGUUUUCCUAAUUCUUGUCAAUAAUUGUGUUCAAAAGUCAUUGCAUUCCUAAUUCUUAUCAACAAUAGUUUUUAAGGAAUCUAUACCUAAUAUUCACAUUAUCAAUAGUAUAUGAAAAUGAUCCUAAUUGAUGUGAGUGGUCUAAUUAGAGUGAAGUAUAUAAGAAUAUCAUUUAUUAAAUCUUAGUAUUAAAAUAAAAAGUAGCAAUUGAAUCCAUUAUAUCAAGACUUGAGGAAUGUGAGGAAUCUAAAUUAAUUUUCUUUCCCUAUAAGGUAGAAUUUGCAUUGAAACUCCAUCUACUUUAAUUUAAGGGAUAGCACAAACAAAGUCGUAGGUGUGACAUGCUUUUAUGUAAAAACAAUUUAAGAGUGGUUUGUGCUUUUUAUAAUAGGUAUCAUGAAAAAGAACAUGCUCAAAAUGUAAAUUUUUUAUUUUUUUAAAUAAUAUUACAUUAUUUUAAUUCAAUUUUCAAGUUAAUUAAAAGCAAAACUUAGAUCAUGGAUUGGACAUAAUGACAAUAAAUUUCUCCUAUUAAUAGAUUUAACAAUAAAAAAGAUGAGUCUUUUUUUUUUCAAGUUAAUUACUAAUUUCUAAAAUUUUUAUUAUGGUAACAAAUGUUAAUAUUUUGAAAUAUUUGAAAAUAUGUUAAUUAUCAUUUUUUGCCAAAUUAUUAAUCUUCAAAUAUUUUUAUUUUAAUUAUAUAAAAUAAAAACAAAUAUAAUAAUUAUUUUAUUACAAACAAAGAAAUUUAAUUAUUAAUUUUUAGUCUUAGCUUAUAAAAGGAAGUAGAUUUAACACUUACAAGAACACCACUUUUAAACAAAUAUGUUAUUCCAAGUUAUACAUAUAGUUCUAUUACAUUUAAGUUGAUGCCAGUGGUAUGAUCAUAGUGAUGUAUAUAUUAGUAUUAAAACAAAAAGUCACAAUUGAGUCUUUUGUAUUUAGACUAAGGAAUAAUUAUAACAAUGGUGAAACCUAGAUUAAUUUUUUCCAUCUUUAUAAGGUAAAAUUUGUAUUGAAACUUCAUCUAUUUCAAGGCAUAGCACAAAUGAAGUUGCAAGGAUGACAUGCCUUCAUGUAGAAAUAAAAUAGAAUUUCAUUGUCUAAAUAGGAUAUUUUAUUAUUAUUGUAAACAAAUUUUUUUACUUCUUCCUUUGUUAGCAUCAAGAACUCAGAAAAUAUUUGCUUCACAAUGUUGAGCAUUGAUGCAUCUAUUUAAUAGUGAUUUGUGCCUUUUAGAUUACAUAUUUUGAAAAAAGAUAUGUUCGAAAUGUAAAUUUUACUAUUAUUUUUUUUUUCAAAUGAUACUCUAUUAUUUCAAUUUAAUUAAAAGGGAGACUUAGGCCAUGGGUCAAACACAAUGACAAUAAAUUUGUCCAGAUGGAUUUAACAAUCGCAAAUAUGGUUUUCUUUUUUUUGAAUACAUAUAAAAGAGAAUUUAUGAUCUAGUUUUUUUAUAGACUUAAAAGAACAAAAAAAAUCAAUUAUUGAAUAUACCUACCAAUUCAAUUACCUUAGAAAAAUUAAAACUUGUGCAUAUUUGUUGCUCAGUUUACAAUUCUUAACAAAUUAAUAGAAAAGAAUUAAACAUUCAAGGCAAAAAAAAAUAGGUCCAUUCAAUUUUCCUUUGAAAUGAUAGUGGGUUGUUUUAAUGGGAUUUGAAGUUUGGGUCAAACUUGAUAUAAUAUUGUUUUACCCUUGAAAUUGAUAACGAUAAUGGGUCAUGUAUAAUGGGAUUUGAAAUCCAAAUCUUAGUGGGAUAUGAACUCUAAGUCAAAUAAUGAUAAUUGGUUUGUUUAGUGGGAUUUAAAAUUUGAGUCUUAAUGGUCUUCGAAGUCAUCAAAUAAUGAUAAUUGGCAUGUUUAGUGGAACUUGAACUUUGAGUUUGAAUGGGGUUUGAAGUUUGAGUCAAACUUGAUAUAAUAUUUUACCCAUAAUUGGCCAUCUUUAAUAGCAUUAGAAGUCAUAGUCAAACUUGAUGUAAUGUUUUACCCUUGGAAAUAAUAAUGAUGAUUGGUGGGAUAUGAAGUCCAAAUCUUAGUGGGAUAUGAACUCUAAGUCAAAUAAUGAUAAUUGGUUUGUUUAGUAGGAUUUGAAAUUUAAAUCUUAAUAGGAUUCAAAGUCGUCAAAUAAUGAUAAUUGGCCUGUUUAGUGGGACUUGAACUUUGAGUCUGAAUGGGGUUUGAAUUUUGAGUCAAACUUGAUAUGAUAUUUUACCCACAAUUGGCCAUCUUUAAUAGGAUUGGAAGUUAUAGUCAAACUUGAUAUAAUAUUUUAUCCUUUGAAAUAAUAAUGAUAAUUGGUGGGAUAUGAAGUCCAUCUCUUAGUGAGAUAUGAACUCUAAGUCAAAUAAUGAUAAUUGGUUUGUUUAGUGGGAUUAGAAAUUUAAGUCUUAGUAAGAUUCAAAGUCGUCAAAUAAUGAUAAUUGGCAUGUUUAGUGGGACUUGAACUUUGAGCUUGAAUGGGAUUUGAAGUUUCAGUCAAACUUGAUAUAAUAUUUUACCCACAAUUGGCCAUCUUUAAUAGGAUUGGAAGUCAUAGUCAAACUUGAUAUAAUAUUUUACCCUUUGAAAUAAUAAUGAUAAUUGGUGGAAUAUAAAGUCCAAAUCUUAGUGGGAUAUGAAAUCUAAGUCAAAUAAUGAUAAUUGGUUUGUUUAGUGGAAUUUGAAAUUUAAGUCUUAAUAGGAUUCAAAGUCGUCAAAUAAUGAUAAUUGACAUGUUUAGUGGGACUUGAACUUUGAGUCUGAAUGGGAUUUGACAUUUGAGUCAAACUUGAUAAUUUUACCCUUAAAAAUAAUAACAAUAAUUGAUCAUAUUUUAUGGGAUUUGAGAUCUUAGUCAAACUUAAUAUAAUAUUUUAACCAACAAUGAAAAAUAAAUAAGCAUAUGAUACGAGCUAAGAACUCAUUUCAAAAGUAGGGUCAAAAAUGGUUUUAAAUGCUUAAAAAGUGUGUUUUGCUAUAUAAAAAAAAAUCGUUUUAACGUUAGAAAAUAUAGAUACUUCUUCUAAAAGCCAUUACAAGAAAGACAUGAAAAAUAUUAAAAUUUCAAAUAAAUUUUCAUGUUUGAAAAACAUAUUUUUCUUGCAUUUUUAUUAAAAAUAUGUUCAAACAUACUCUUACAUGAUCUACUUGAGUUCCUAAAAUAAUUACAAACUCUAUUUAAUUUUUAUUUUAAAAUUUUUUUACCUAAGGGUGGAAAAUUCCUCCUCAAAUUAUACAUGGAUAUGAAUUAUUUGGAUGAAAAUUGGAGCUAAUAUCAUAAGAAUGACCUAUUUUAGUGGAAUAUAUAGUUAUUAUAAGAUAAAUCUCACUCAACUAUCUGUUUACUUAUAAGACAAAGUUCACUGCCUUGUAUAAUGGGGUGCAAAAAUACAUAUGAGUGGACACUUUUGACUUAAAGUAUAAUGAGAUGUAAAAAUACAUAUGAGUGAACACUUUUUACUUAAGAUCGUGUUUCACAAUAACAUGUCUUAAAUUUAAGUUCAAAGAAAAGUACCACUUAAACCUCCAAAGAACCCUUGAACAUAACAAUUGAAAAUAAAGAUAAACUCCCUCAUAUGAUAAUAAAAAAUAUUUUUCAAUUGUUAUAAAUUGUGAUCAUGUUACUUAUUAAGUUAAAUAAGAAGUAAAAAGGAUUUUAUAAAAAUGGUAUUUUAAAUGUGAAGUAAAUUUUAAAUGUGCUAAAAAUUUUAGGUCCUCUUUGGACGUGUUUUCUAAUGCUGGUUGAAAAGUUGUUUUUAUGUUAAAGAACAAAAGAUAGUUAUUUAGUAUUUUAUAAAAAUAAGGAUGUUUGAUAAGUUGUUUUUUCAAAAAAUAAAAAUAAGAACUUUUUUGGAUAAGUUGUUUAUAAAAAUAAUUUUCCUAUUUUGAUUUUGUAAAAACAUUAUAAAUUUAAUUUAUGUAAUAUUAAUUAAAUUUAAUUAAAGUCUUAUUGAAAAUAAAAAAAUAGUUUUUAAUUACAAAUAAAUUAAAAAAAUAAAUAGUUUUUAGUAAAAUAUGAACAAUAAUAUUAUAAUAAAAUCAUAAAUAAAAAAAAUUAUAAAAAAAUAUUAUUUUAGUAUAUUUUUUAUGCUAAAGCUCCUAAUGGGCUUCGAAGUCAUCAAAUAAUGAUAAUUGACAUGUUUAGUGGGACUUGAACUUUGAGUUUGAAUAGGGUUUAAAGUUUGAGUCAAACUUGAUGUAAUAUUUUAUCCACAAUUGGCCAUCUUUAAUAGGAUUGGAAGUUAUAGUCAAACUUGAUAUAAUAUUUUACCCUUGGAAAUAAUAAUGAUAAUUGGUGGGAUAUGAAGUCCAAAUCUUAGUGAGAUGUGAACUCUAACUCAAAUAAUGAUAAUUGGUUUGUUUAGUGGGAUUAGAAAUUUAAGUCUUAAUAGGAUUCAAAGUCGUCAAAUAAUGAUAAUUGACAUGUUUAGUGGGACUUGAACUUUGAGUCUGAAUGGGAUUUGAAGUUUGCGUCAAACUUGAUAUCAUAUUUUACCCACAAUUGACCAUCUUUAAUAGGAUUGGAAGUCAUAGUCAAACUUGAUAUAAUAUUUUACCCUUUGAAAUAAUAAUGAUAAUUGGUGGAAUAUGAAGUCCAAAUCUCAGUGGGAUAUGAAAUGUAAGUCAAAUAAUGAUAAUUGGUUUGUUUAGUGGGAUUUGAAAUUUAAGUCUUAACAGGAUUCAAAGUCGUCAACUAAUGAUAAUUGGCAUGUUUAGUGGGACUUGAACUUUGAGUCUGAAUGGGAUUUAACGUUUGAGUCAAACUUGAUAAUUUUACCCUUGAAAAUAAUAACGAUAAUUGGUCAUAUUUAAUGGGAUUUGAGAUCUUAGUCAAACUUAAUAUAAUAUUUUAACCAAUAAUGAAAAAUAAAUAAAUAUAUGAUAUCAACUAAGAACUCAUUUCGAAAGUAGGGUCAAAAAUUGUUUAAAAUGCUUAAAAAGUGUGUUUUGCUAUAAAAAAUAAAUCAUUUGAAAAAAAAAAUCGUUUUAAAGUUAGAAAACAUGAAUAAACACUUAGAUAUUUCUUCUAAAAGCCAUUACAAGAAAGACAUGAAAAAUAUUAAAAUUUCAAAUAAAUUUUCAUGUUUGAAAAACAUAUUUUUCUUGCAUUUUUAUUAAAAACAUGUUCAAACAUAUUCUUAUAUGAUCUACUUGAGUUCCUAAAAUAAUUACAAACUCUAUUUAAUUUUUAUUUUAAAAUUUUUUUACCUAAGGGUGGAAAAUUCCUCCUCAAAUUAUACAUUGAUAUGAAUUAUUUGGAUGAAAAUUGGAGCUAACAUCCAUAUCAUAAGAAUAACCUAUUUUAGUGGAAUAUAUAGUUAUUAUAAGAUAAAUCUCACCCAACUAUCUCUUUACUUAUAAGACAAAGUUCAUUGCCUUGUAUAAUGGGAUGCAAAAAUACAUGAGUGGACACUUUUGACUUAAAGUAUAAUGGGAUGUAAAAAUACAUAUGAGUGGACACUUUUUACUUAAGAACGUGUUUCACAAUGACAUGUGUCUUAAAUUUAAGUUCAAAGAAAAGUACCACUUAAACCUCCAAAGAACCCUUGAACAUAAUAAUUGAAAAUAAAGAUGAACUCCCUCAUAUGAUAAUAAAAAAUAUUUUUCAAUUGUUAUAAAUUGUGAUCAUGUUACUUAUUAAGUUAAAUAAGAAGUAAAAAGGAUUUUAUAAAAAUGGUAUUUUAAAUGUGAAGUAAAUUUUAAAUGUGCUAAAAGUUUUAGGUCCUCUUUGGAUGUGUUUUCUAAUGCUGGUUGAAAAGUUGUUUUUAUGUUAAAGAAUAAAAGAUAGUUAUUUAGUAUUUUAUAAAAAUAAGGAUGUUUGACAAGUUUUUUUUAAAAAAAGUAAAAAAUAAAAAACUUUUUUGGAUAGGUUGUUUAUAAAAAUAAUUUUUCUAUUUUGAUUUUGUAAAAACAUUAUAAAAUUAAUUUAUGUAAUAUUAAUUAAAUUUAAUUAAAGUUUUAUUGAAAAUAAAAAUAGUUUUUAAUUACAAAUAAAUUAAAAAAUAAAUAGUUUUUAGUAAAAUAUGAACAAUAAUAUUAUAAUAAAAUCAUUAAAAAAUAUUAUUUUAGUAUAUUUUUCAUGCUAAAGCUCCUAUGAAAUUUUAGGUAGAUACAUGUCUUCUAGUGGAUAAUUAUAGUCUUUUUCAACUCGGAGAUCCUUCACGACAUGAGCCACCAACCAUUCCUCAUACAAAAUCUUGCCAAAUUAACCUUGAGAAUAUUCCUCAACAUCCUAUUCCUCUUCAUCUCAACCAUCCUCUCCCUUUGUCUCCUCCACCUCUCUUGAACACCACUCCCCUCCGCCCCAAUCUCCCACCCUCUCAUCUCAUGGUCCAGGUGCUAAAGUCAUUGAAUACAUCUUGUAUUGUAUUCAAUCCCAUGUUUUUCUGGCCUCAUAAAUUCUAAACCCUAUCUAGGUUUUCCAAUUUUGUGAAAAAUUAUAUGGAUUAAAUUCAAUGUUAGAGACAAAAUUUUGAACAAAUCUGCAAAAACGCUCAACAGUUGUGGUCAUAGCUCAUGACCAAGAUGGGAGUCUACAAUGUAAUAAUGCUGAUGAAUGAUUCAAAGACUGCUCCAACUAGAUUUUGAAAAUUGUCUAUUUUCCAACAUUUUUGUAUUGAGCUAUUCUCGUAUAAACGGAUUGAAAACAGUUUUUUGAAAAUUUGUUUAAAAAUAAGAGGACUUUUCAUAAAAAAAUUCAGGGUGUUUUAUUAGAGCAAUAGGAGACAUGGAGAAUAUGCCGAUAACUUUUGCAGUGUACAUCAAUGCAUAAUACUUUCAUAGAGAAGAGACUUUUAUUUAAAAAAAAAAAAAAAAAAUUGACUCCUAAUAGAAUUUUAUUACUCCAAACAUUCAGGAGCUAUUCUUAAAAAUCGAUUUGUAAAAAUUAUCGAGCAGACCCACAAUCUGUUCGAGUAACAAAUGGAAAACUUACCAUUUGAUCUUAUUCCAACUACAAUUUAAAAAAAGAAAACAAACAAACAUAUAAAUCCUUAGACAGGACCGAGCAACAAGCAUUGUGGUUUUGUUGUCUGUGGGUGGUCAAAUUUAUCAGUAACCCAAGACUUCCAUGCUCACAAAAGCUCCAUUUUAAUCAAAGGUUGGUGAGAAAAUUACUAACAGGCUCAAGUCUCAUCUUAAAUAGAAGGAAAACAAAAACAUUAUUUACAUGCUUCACCAAUGAAACAUUCAAGUUAUGCAUUGAUAACCAUAAUUUCUGGGGAUAUAACGCUGUUCAACAAGAUUAAUGCAUUUGUGAAGCUCAGACGAAUCGCAAAGAUCAUAGAUGAAAAUCUCUCUAGCAUUACCAAAUAAAAGGUACAACGAAGAAAAAGUUGAUGUAUGUGAUCUUGCUUGGGACUGAGGUGGAUCAAUGUUCAAUAUUUUCCUAAAAUAAGCAGACUAAUUAGUGUAAGAAAUAUUGAUUCAUAUAGAACUUUAACCACAAAAUUCAGAAUUAACUAGGAAGAAGAUGAAAAUACAGAGAAAACUUGAGGGAAGGAGCUAAGACACAGAUGGAGGGAUUGGCUUCACAGCAUUUUGGAUCCGCUGGAAUGCCACUCUCACUCUUUCCUUGAGGCCUUCAUUUUCGCUCUCAACAUUCCCACUCUGUUUAUCAAGAUGCACCACAUUUCCAUCAACGCUUAUCACCAGGUUCCCAUUCCCUUCCAACUUCACAUCUCCAAACAGAGAAACAAGGAGUGCGUGGAUAACCUUUUCUGCUUUCUUCCCAUUUUCUUCUUCAGUUUUCAUGGCCUCUGAUUCAACUACUACCUUGGGGAUCUCAAGACUGAUAUUUAAAACUAGAGCCACAAUGGAGUCAGAGACCAUGUCACUAAUUGGAUCUGAUGUCCAACGCAAUGAAAUAUGCUUCUCCGACUCAUGCUUCACUGUCACCCGUUCAUGGACUUGAAAAGCUGGAACCUCAGAUUCUUCAUCUGGCAAUGACUCAACACUCUCAUAUAUCUGCUUCAGCCUGUGCUUUAUUACACCAAAGGCACCAGUGUAAGGAAUAGUAAUCCUCUGGGUGACAUUUGCCGUGGAUAGCUGUGAGAAGACAUGGAGAUCAUCAGGUGCCAUUAUCUGAUAAGUGAACCCUUUCUUUACCAGUAAACCACUGACAAUUUCACCAACUUCUGGGGUCUUUUCAGCCAGCCUCUCAAUGGUUUUUGCCAUUUUUUCAGAGUUGAAAUACAUUUCAACUGACUGACAGUUCUUUGGGGAAAUAAUUUUGGUGUUGCAGUCAGCAAACUGGGUGAUAAGCUUCUGUUUGAGCCUCCCCAUCUCAUUAGCUUCUCCAUGAACAAGAAUGAUGUUAGGUGGCAUGAGCUCCUUCAAGAAUGUACUUGUCUGUGCAAAAUCUGCAUGGGCAGAGAAAGAAAUGUAAUGGACCUGCAUGUUGAGGGGAGCAGUAAGACCAUUCAUUAAAGUAACUUCCUUGGGUUCAUUAAUGAUGGUUUUUGCCAAUGUCCCUCCCACGACAUACCCAGGUAUAACACAUGCAUUUUUCUUAUCAGAGCACCACAUAUCAAACAGUUGUCUUGACAACCCACUCUGAAGCCCACCCGGGCUCGCCAUCACCACUGAUGGACCUACAUCAUUAAAAUUCUCAAUGCUCUUUAAGGGUGAUAUGUGCUUGAAGUCAAAGGGAUUCGAAUUUGCAAAUUGGUUGCGGAUCCUCUCAUUCAUGGAAUUGAUAUAUGUCUGGUAAACAGCCAUGCACCUUUUUGCAAGGGGGGAAGCAUAAAAUAUGGGAUGUUAUGGAGCUCAGGAUGGUUAGACCAAUACUCAUCAAGGAUAAGAAGGAGUUCUUGGGCACGACCUAGAGCAUAUGCAGGGAUUAGAACACGGCCCCCUUGAGAAAUGGUUGAGUGGAUGACAUCUGUGAAGCGUUUUUCUCGCACAUGCCGAGGCUGAUGGAGUUGGACACCAUAAGUGGAUUCAAUUAUGCAAAUAUCAGGGCAGAACUGUGGAAUCUCAGCAGCACGGAGAUGACGAUCUUCUUCGCUAGAAUAGUCUCCAGUGUAAAGUACUCGGACACCAGCAAUAUCAACCAUAAACAUGGCAGCACCAAGGACGUGGCCAGCUGUGUAACACCAAAAUCGUAUACCAUUUACUUCUAAAGUCUGAUGGAAAUCAAUAACCUGCAGAAGGGAGAUUUAAUUACAGUUACAGGAAGAUUAAAUGAGAUAAGAAAAUUAAGCUACAUAUCUAAAGUCAAUUGUUGUAAAUGGCCCAACAUUCUGCAAUAGAUCAGGAUUAUAUGCAACCAAUAUUUUGGCAUAUGAGAUACACACACACACACACACACCAUAUUGCUUUUUUUAGUGAACAAGUUUUAUAUUUUAUUAGAUUAGUUAUGUAACAAUUUUGAAACUAAAUUCAGAAACAAUAGAAAAAAUGUUGUUGUGGAACACAAAACAUGAAUUAAUAUUAGAAGUAUAGCCAUUUAAAUCUUAAUAGACUAAUUCCUACUAUGUUAGUUUUAUUUGUCCAGAACUGAAGACAAAACUCAUCUGCUCUCAUGGAAGGUGAAGUACAGAAAGCCCACAGAUGUUAUAGAGAUCUAAAACAGUAGUACUUACACUCAGGUAGAAUCUAUGAUUCAGGUAUGAAUGUCUAUGGUAGAAAGAUUAAGGCUUUAGGACAAGGUAGUAGACAUUUGUGGCACUAUUAAUUUCAAAUAAGAGUCCCAAGAUAGAACAUUAGAGCUAUUCGCAAAUUUAAAUAACCAGAUUUAAGCUAAUCUGUGAUACAUGGACCAUUGUGACCAUAACUUUUGUGUUUUUUUUUUUUUUUUUGAUAGUUAUUGUAACCAUAACCUUUUUUUUUUCCUGAUAGACAUUGUGACCAUAACUUUUCAGGCCUUUAAAAAAGGAAGUGCAAGAGAAGGAUUUCUCAUCCUUCCCUACUUUACAAAACCUGAUUUAAAAAUGGAAGUGCAACUGUGCAAGAGAAGGAUGAGAAAUCCUUCCUUACUUUACAAAACCUGAUCAAAACAGAGGAAAAGAAAUACUCUCCAAUAAACAUCAAAACAACUCGACAUUGCAAUUUUAACACUUCGGAUCUACAAGUCGACAUCCAAUCAAGUUGAGUUAUGUUGAGAAAUUCAUGCCUUAAAACAGAUAGUUACAUUAAAGGCACAACCAUAAUCAUAAAUCCAUUUACUGAGAAGAAAACAAUGCUGAGAAAAGCAAUGGGAACUUCAACAUAAUCAAAGAAAGUGAAUGAUUGGGGUUUUUCUGAAGGAAUUUUAGCUGAUAGAUUCAAUUAUUUGUAACCUCUCGCACUCUUACAUAUGAAAGUACAUGUUCAAGUUUGUGUAUGGACACUUUAUGCAGAGAAUGGGUAGGUCCAUUAACCCUUUCAUCCCUCCAGAACCCCAGAAAAGGAACCUGUAAUGGCCAACGGCCUUUGUAUAGAGUGAUCCCUCUAAUACAGCUACAGAGAAUACUCUCAAAACCAUGCUUAUAGUAGUAGAUCACUAACUAUUGAUGUGCUUUCAACCAUUUCAAGAGCACUCAUCAGCCAUGCAGUCAGAAUUUCAACUGGAGUAAAGUUGGGCUCAAGAAAGUCUACUCAAAGCCGAAAAAAUCUCAAGGCCAGACAAGAGCCCAGGGACAGAUUUCAAUUUUAGGAAGCUAUUUCAUACGAGGAAAGGAAUCUCCAAGAGUUUAUUCCUUGAGAAAAAAGAAAUAUUAGCAAACGGAAUGAAGAAGCCAUUGAGAAGCAGGAGAUAUUCAGAUAAUGACUUAAAAUUUGGGUGGUAGAUGUAGUCUCAUUACUUUAAAAAUAUAUCUGCAGUGCUCCUAAUAGCACCAGAUAUUGAUAAGAGAAGGUGCGGAUGGAGUACUUGCAGCUGGUCCCAGUCAAAUCUUUAUAUGCUUUAACAAUAGUUGUUUGGUCACUUUUUCUAAGUAAGGCCAUUCAGGACAGAAUUCAUUCAAUGAUUUUUUUUUUUUUUUUUUUGGAAGAAAUAUGUCCAUACCCAGGUAUAUAGUACAAUAUAAAAGAACAAUCAUGAUAUUCUCUAAAUUUCAUUUCUCAAUUCAGCAGAUCAUUAAGUUAUAAAAACAAAUAACAUUACAAUAUUCAACAAGGAAAAAGAAUAUACUGUGUCACCAAAAGGACAUCAAUGGUUGAAGGAUCAAUCUCAUCAAAGUAUGGCAAAGCAGCCAUGACUGAGUAUGCGGGAUGAAUUCCACAGUCAAACUAUCAUCACAGAACAGGAACAUAAUAGAAACAAACAAAUUAAAAAAAAUAUCGAAAACAAAGUAUAAAAACUAGCAACCAAAAUAAACGAAUAAUGCAUUAUGGUAUACCAAUAUGGUUUUCCCUUUAUAGGACAUGUAGACACAGGAACGGCCCACUUCAUUUCCAGCACCUAGAGGGGUAAUAAUCAGCUGGUCUCCUCUUGUUAAUGAGGAAUCUGGUCUCUUCAAAGACUGCGAUGGCCCUGUAGAUGCCAUUCUUCAACUGAACAAUUCUCAGACCCCUUCAAUUAACACCACUCUAUUUUCAUGCAAAAUGCUCUGCAACCGAUUAAAAAAUACAAAAAAAAGAUUCAAAAAAAAAUAAAAAAACGCUUCAUCAUAAAUAAAAUGAUACCCAAAAAUAAAUACAAUUCCAACAAAAGACAUUUUUUCUCUGGGAACUCCAGUUAUUUUGGUGAAUAUAUUUCUGUUAAGCUUGGGAAAAAUAAAUUUUGACUUUCAGUAAAAUAACUCUGUACAGUUGAAAUUUAUAUUUCCCUGAGAACAUCUUCAAUAGAAAUAACCUAUCUCCCCAAUUGAAGCUCAAAAUUCAAAAUCCAGUACGAGAAAGCACUGUUUGUUUGCUGAGAAAUUGCAGAACCAAAAAUUUAAAUCUUACAGCUCUCAGCACUCAUCCCCCUAGAAAGCAACAUAAAAGCGCAAGAUUCAAUUGCUUCAUUUCCCUCUCUUCUCCUCACUUUUCUCAGCAACCAAACACAACAACCUUAUAUAAAUAAGGAGAGAGAGUGAAGUAGAAGAAAGAAGAAACUCGAAACUUAUAAAAAAAAAGCAUAGUAUGAAGGCAAUUAUAAGAGAUUCAAAAUUUUCAACUCACUUGGUUGCAUUCCCCAGGACUUUCUCGGGAACCAAACAGACGGGAGGAAGAAAAAACAUAAACUUCAGAACAAAGAAAGAAGAAAUGCAUAGAAAAUAGCAGAGGGAGAAAGUUUCGAGAGAGCUAGAGAGGUUACAGUUAUGAAAUGAUUUCAGACCAUGCAGAGGAAGAGAUUGAACUAAAACCCCAAUUUUGAGAAGAUGCUUCCCUCUUUGCCUCACCCUCUGAAAGAUUGAUAAAUACCGGGCUGGAAUGGUCGGUCCGGACAGUCUUCAAGGAGUUCUUGAAAAAGAAUCUGAAGUACAUCUAUGAACAAUCACAUAUGCAUUUGGGCAAUCUAUAGGUUCUCCAUCUGCUCUCAUCGCUGAACUACCACAUUCCUUCAGAUAAAUGGACCUGCCACCUCUGGUUUAUUAAAGACUAAAACAAUUUCCGUUGAACAGGUCUUUGCAUAAACCUUCUUUGGGGCAGGAGACUGAUGUGGAGUAUACUUAAGUCGUUUUCAGAUUAGUAUUUGAAUUGACCUUCUGAGGGGUGCCAAGUGCAAUUCACCAAAAUCCCAAACUGGAAUUAGUCCAUCUCCCAUUUCCUUUGAAAUACUCAACAAUUUAGUUUCUUUUUCUAUCAAGUUUGCCUUCAACUUUUCAAUAUCAGCCUACAUUUUCUCUAGUUUCGUCUGUGGUUCAGCUUGUAUUGGACUGGGUCUAGAUUUUGCGUGUUCUACAUGCUCAUAAGUGCUUCCAAACUACACCAUGUCCUGAACAUAUUCUUUCUGAUACCUGACCUUGGCAUCAAGAGCAGAUUUUAAAUGUCCCAUCUUUAAGACCAGAUUACUACUUAUGAAGUAGUCUAGGCUCUCCUUCAAACGGCUGAGACAGUGAGCAUUGUAACCACUGCCAAAUACUUUGUUAGUUGCUGAAAGAAAGCUUGGGUUCCUAUCUGAAAUUAGAACCACAUGACAAUUCAUCAGUAAAUACUUCAGAUGCUCUAGGAACCACAACCAGUUUUCUUCAUUAUCAGUAUUAACCACCCCAUAAACUAGAGGAUAUUAGUCAUCAUCUACAUCUAAGGCAGAUGCAGACAACAAAGUGUCUUUAUGUGGCCCACUCAAGUGAUAGGCGUCAACAAACAGCAACUCCCUGGAAUUGACUUCAUAAGUCGCUUGCACAUCCAUGGAAUUAGCUUGUAAGAGUCCUCUGGCUUUCCAAAAUUCGCUGUGCUGGAGAAAGUCCAAUAGUGAGGGCUGCUGCUGAGCGAAUGCAAUAGUUCCUUUACAUGCAGUUGAGCCACCAGCCUGUUAAUUUCUCAGCUCAUGGCGUAGGUGAACAUUAAGCUGCUGAAGAUAGACUGGCUCUCUACAUCAGAUCACAUUGAUUUGUUUGGAGUUGCCCAAUUUCUUUGGCAAAUCUUCAUUUUCGUGUCUCGAAUUGUGGUUCAGUUUCCUUACUUCUUCU